GUCUAGCCUGGUAGGACUUCGGCCUCCCGAGCCGGCGACCCGGGUUCAAAUCCCGGCG
rnacentral:tRNA from 1 species